rnacentral:rRNA from 1 species
UACAGAGGUCUCAAGCGUUGUUCGGAUUCAUUGGGCGUAAAGGGUGCGUAGGCGGCGCGGUAAGUCGGGUGUGAAAUCUCGGGGCUUAACUCCGAAACUGCAUUCGAUACUGCCGUGCUUGAGGACUGGAGAGGAGACUGGAAUUUACGGUGUAGCAGUGAAAUGCGUAGAUAUCGUAAGGAAGACCAGUGGCGAAGGCGAAUCUCUGGACAGUUACUGACACUGAGGCACGAAGGCCAGGGGAGCAAACGGG